GACGAACGCUGGCGGCGUGCUUAACACAUGCAAGUCGAACGGUAAGGCCCUUUCGGGGGUACACGAGUGGCGAACGGGUGAGUAACACGUGGGUGAUCUGCCCUGCACUUUGGGAUAAGCCUGGGAAACUGGGUCUAAUACCGGAUAGGACUACGCGAUGCAUGUCGUGUGGUGGAAAGCUUUUGCGGUGUGGGAUGGGCCCGCGGUCUAUCAGCUUGUUGGUGGGGUGAUGGCCUACCAAGGCGACGACGGGUAGCCGGCCUGAGAGGGUGUCCGGCCACACUGGGACUGAGAUACGGCCCAGACUCCUACGGGAGGCAGCAGUGGGGAAUAUUGCACAAUGGGCGCAAGCCUGAUGCAGCGACGCCGCGUGGGGGAUGACGGCCUUCGGGUUGUAAACCCCUUUCAGCACAGACGAAGCGUAAGUGACGGUAUGUGCAGAAGAAGCACCGGCCAACUACGUG
rnacentral:rRNA from 1 species